CUCAGGACGAACGCUGGCGGCGUGCUUAACACAUGCAAGUCGAACGAUGAAGCCCUUCGGGGUGGAUUAGUGGCGAACGGGUGAGUAACACGUGGGCAAUCUGCCCUUCACUCUGGGACAAGCCCUGGAAACGGGGUCUAAUACCGGAUACCACUCCUUAUGGCAUGGGAAGGGGUUGAAAGCUCCGGCGGUGAAGGAUGAGCCCGCGGCCUAUCAGCUUGUUGGUGAGGUAGUGGCUCACCAAGGCGACGACGGGUAGCCGGCCUGAGAGGGCGACCGGCCACACUGGGACUGAGACACGGCCCAGACUCCUACGGGAGGCAGCAGUGGGGAAUAUUGCACAAUGGGCGAAAGCCUGAUGCAGCGACGCCGCGUGAGGGAUGACGGCCUUCGGGUUGUAAACCUCUUUCAGCAGGGAAGAAGCGAAAGUGACGGUACCUGCAGAAGAAGCGCCGGCUAACUACGUGCCAGCAGCCGCGGUAAUACGUAGGGCGCAAGCGUUGUCCGGAAUUAUUGGGCGUAAAGAGCUCGUAGGCGGCUUGUCGCGUCGGUUGUGAAAGCCCGGGGCUUAACCCCGGGUCUGCAGUCGAUACGGGCAGGCUAGAGUGUGGUAGGGGAGAUCGGAAUUCCUGGUGUAGCGGUGAAAUGCGCAGAUAUCAGGAGGAACACCGGUGGCGAAGGCGGAUCUCUGGGCCAUUACUGACGCUGAGGAGCGAAAGCGUGGGGAGCGAACAGGAUUAGAUACCCUGGUAGUCCACGCCGUAAACGGUGGGAACUAGGUGUUGGCGACAUUCCACGUCGUCGGUGCCGCAGCUAACGCAUUAA
rnacentral:rRNA from 1 species